rnacentral:rRNA from 1 species
UACGUAGGGAGCAAGCGUUGUUCGGAUUUACUGGGCGUAAAGGGCGCGUAGGCGGCAGAUCAAGUCAGCUGUGAAAUCUCCGAGCUUAACUCGGAACUGUCAGCUGAUACUGUUUUGCUAGAGUGCGGAAGGGGCAAUCGGAAUUCUUGGUGUAGCGGUGAAAUGCGUAGAUAUCAAGAGGAAUACCUGAGGUGAAGACGGGUUGCUGGGCCGACACUGACGCUGAGUGCGCGAAAGCCAGGGGAGCAAACGGG